UUUUUUUUUUUUCCUUCACUUAUUUCUUUCAUAUGGAUCUUAGCCUUUUCAUCUGACUGUUUAGAUUUUUCUACGUAAGAACUAAGCAACUUUUGGGUUUCAUCGUUUUUACAUAACAACAUCAAAUAAUAUUUACUAUUAUCUUGCCACUAAAGAAAAAUAUCAAAUAGUAAUAAUAACUUCAAAGAAAAGGCUGAAAAUCUAAACAAUCACAUGAAAAGGCUGAAAAAGAUCGGACAUGAGGAAAUAAGUGAGGAAUAAAAAAGAAAAGAUGAAAGAGGGGCAAAGACAAGUCAGAAAAUUUUGGAACCGGGAAAGGAGACUAACCUUAUACUAAAGCAAAGUUUGAACACCCAAAUCCGCCUUACUUUUAUGUUCCAAAUCUUGAAAGCAGGAAAACAACCAAGAGUUCGACAAGGCAGCCAAACUCACUUGCACCCUCUGGUACUUCUCUUCACAGUUGAUCAUUUUGAGAAGAAUUUUUCUCCGUCGUUGCCAUUAAAUAGACAAUGAGUAACAUCAUGCAACAUCAUUGCAAUAUUUAUAUUAUUAUCUUUCUUUUUCACAUUGGGCAAACUACACUUACCCAGUUUCAUUUUACUCACUUUUCAGUUGAAAAAUAUUUUUUUGGGGGAUUUGGUCAAAAAGACAUUAAUUCUUUGAGAUGUUAUUUAUUAAGUUAAUUUUAAUUGAAAAGAUAUACCUUUUAUUAAAUAUUAUUUUCUAUUUAUUUAUUUAUUUUUCUUUGUUUGUUCUUUUUAUCCAAGAUUUC
rnacentral:lncRNA from 1 species